rnacentral:rRNA from 1 species
UACGGAGGAUCCAAGCGUUAUCCGGAUUUAUUGGGUUUAAAGGGUGCGUAGGCGGCUUAUUUAAGUCAGGGGUGAAAGACGGUGGCUCAACCAUCGCAGUGCCUUUGAUACUGAUGAGCUUGAAUGAACUAGAGGUAGGCGGAAUGUGACAAGUAGCGGUGAAAUGCAUAGAUAUGUCACAGAACACCGAUUGCGAAGGCAGCUUACUAUGGUUUUAUUGACGCUGAGGCACGAAAGCGUGGGGAUCAAACAGG